rnacentral:rRNA from 1 species
CCUACGGGAGGCAGCAGUGGGGAAUCUUGCGCAAUGGGGGCAACCCUGACGCAGCCAUGCCGCGUGAACGAUGAAGGCCUUAGGGUUGUAAAGUUCUUUUACCCGUGACGAUGAUGACGGUAACGGGGGAAUAAGCUCCGGCUAACUUCGUGCCAGCAGCCGCGGUAAUACGAAGGGGGCUAGCGUUGUUCGGAAUUACUGGGCGUAAAGCGCGCGCAGGCGGUUCGAUAAGUUGGGGGUGAAAUCCCCGGGCUCAACCCGGGAAUGGCCUUCAAGACUGUCGAGCUAGAGGACGAGAGAGGUGAGUGGAAUUCCCAGUGUAGAGGUGAAAUUCGUAGAUAUUGGGAAGAACACCGGUGGCGAAGGCGGCUCACUGGCUCGUUUCUGACGCUGAGGCGCGAAAGCGUGGGGAGCAAACAGGAUUAGAUACCCUGGUAGUCCACGCCGUAAACGAUGAGUGCCAGGUGUCGGGGGACUUAGUCCUUCGGCGCCGCAGCUAACGCCUUAAGCACUCCGCCUGGGGAGUACGGCCGCAAGGUUAAAACUCAAAUGAAUUGACGG